AUUGAACGCUGGCGGCAGGCCUAACACAUGCAAGUCGAGCGGGAACUUCGGUUCUAGCGGCGGACGGGUGAGUAAUGCGUAGGAAGCUACCCGAUAGAGGGGGAUACCAGUUGGAAACGACUGUUAAUACCGCAUAAUGUCUACGGACCAAAGUGUGGGACCUUCGGGCCACAUGCUAUCGGAUGCGCCUACGUGGGAUUAGCUAGCUGGUGAGGUAAUGGCUCACCAAGGCGACGAUUCCUAGCUGGUGUGAGAGGAUGAUCAGCCCCACUGGAACUGAGACACGGUCCAGACUCCUACGGGAGGCAGCAGUGGGGAAUAUUGGACAAUGGGCGCAAGCCUGAUCCAGCCAUGCCGCGUGUGUGAAGAAGGCCUUCGGGUUGUAAAGCACUUUCAGCGAGGAGGAAGGGUUGUGUGUUAAUAGUACACAGCCUUGACGUUACUCGCAGAAGAAGCACCGGCUAACUCUGUGCCAGCCGCCGCGGUAAAAC
rnacentral:rRNA from 1 species